UACGAAGGGGGCUAGCGUUGCUCGGAAUCACUGGGCGUAAAGGGUGCGUAGGCGGGUCUUAAGUCAGGGGUGAAAUCCUGGAGCUCAACUCCAGAACUGCCUUUGAUACUGAGGAUCUUGAGUACGGGAGAGGUGAGUGGAACUGCGAGUGUAGAGGUGAAAUCGUAGAUAUUCGCAAGAACACCAGUGGCGAAGGCGGCUCACUGGCCCGUUACUGACGCUGAGGCACGAAAGCGUGGGGAGCAACAGG
rnacentral:rRNA from 1 species